rnacentral:RNase_MRP_RNA from 1 species
UCGCCACGAAACGAAGUGAACGGGGUGUGAACCUGCCUCUCGCAGGUUGGAGCCCCAGGAAAGUCCCCGGGCCAUAAUUUGCAGAGAUGCAAACCCAGGAACAGGUGGCCUCCGUGUCAACGGGCAAUAUUGCCACUGUGCAAUGGGCUGAGACGUGUGUGGAGCCCUAAUUGCCCAAUACCGGAGUUCUUUGGCCGAUUAUAUCACAGUUAUUCACUUGGUCCUAAUGCGACUAACUGAACGGGGCUUACGAUUUCGUGGUG